rnacentral:rRNA from 1 species
GACGAACGUUGGCGGCGUGCUUAACACAUGCAAGUCGAACGGAAAGGCCCUGCUUUUGUGGGGUGCUCGAGUGGCGAACGGGUGAGUAACACGUGAGUAACCUGCCCUUGACUUUGGGAUAACUUCAGGAAACUGGGGCUAAUACCGGAUAGGAGCUCCUGCUGCAUGGUGGGGGUUGGAAAGUUUCGGCGGUUGGGGAUGGACUCGCGGCUUAUCAGCUUGUUGGUGGGGUAGUGGCUUACCAAGGCUUUGACGGGUAGCCGGCCUGAGAGGGUGACCGGCCACAUUGGGACUGAGAUACGGCCCAGACUCCUACGGGAGGCAGCAGUGGGGAAUAUUGCACAAUGGGCGGAAGCCUGAUGCAGCAACGCCGCGUGCGGGAUGACGGCCUUCGGGUUGUAAACCGCUUUCGCCUGUGACGAAGCGUGAGUGACGGUAAUGGGUAAAGAAGCACCGGCUAACUACGUGCCAGCAGCCGCGGUGAUACGUAGGGUGCGAGCGUUGUCCGGAUUUAUUGGGCGUAAAGGGCUCGUAGGUGGUUGAUCGCGUCGAAAGUGUAAUCUUGGGGCUUAACCCUGAGCGUGCUUUCGAUACGGGUUGACUUGAGGAAGGUAGGGGAGAAUGGAAUUCCUGGUGGAGCGGUGGAAUGCGCAGAUACCAGGAGGAACACCAGUGGCGAAGGCGGUUCUCUGGGCCUUUCCUGACGCUGAGGAGCGAAAGCGUGGGGAGCGAACAGGCUUAGAUACCCUGGUAGUCCACGCUGUAAACGGUGGGUACUAGGUGUGGGGUCCAUUCCACGGGUUCCGUGCCGUAGCUAACGCUUUAAGUACCCCGCCUGGGGAGUACGGCCGCAAGGCUAAAACUCAAAGGAAUUGACGGGGCCCCGCACAAGCGGCGGAGCAUGCGGAUUAAUUCGAUGCAACGCGUAGAACCUUACCUGGGUUUGACAUGGAUCGGGAGUGCUCAGAGAUGGGUGUGCCUCUUUUGGGGUCGGUUCACAGGUGGUGCAUGCCUGUCGUCAGCUCGUGUCGUGAGAUGUUGGGUUAAGUCCCGCAACGAGCGCAACCCUUGUUCACUGUUGCCAGCACGUUAUGGUGGGGACUCAGUGGAGACCGCCGGGGUCAACUCGGAGGAAGGUGGGGAUGACGUCAAGUCCUCAUGCCCUUUAUGUCCAGGGCUUCACGCAUGCUACAAUGGCUGGUACAGAGAGUGGCGAGCCUGUGAGGGUGAGCGAAUCUCGGAAAGCCGGUCUCAGUUCGGAUUGGGGUCUGCAACUCGACCUCAUGAAGUCGGAGUCGCUAGUAAUCGCAGAUCAGCAACGCUGCGGUGAAUACGUUCCCGGGGCU